rfam:Trichomonas vaginalis G3, whole genome shotgun sequence.
GGGUGCAUAGCUCAGUGGUAGAGCGCAACAUUUGCAUUGUUGAGGCCGAGGAUUCGAUCUCCCCUGCAUCCA